rnacentral:rRNA from 1 species
CAGCCGCCGCGGUAAUACGUAGGUGGCGAGCGUUAUCCGGAAUUAUUGGGCGUAAAGGGUGCGUAGGCGGCUUAAUAAGUUUGUGGUGAAAUCGUGGGGCUCAACUCCAUCAAGCCACAAAAACUGUAAAGCUAGAGGACAGUAGAGGCAAGUGGAAUUCCAUGUGUAGCGGUAAAAUGCGUAGAUAUAUGGAGGAACACCAGUGGCGAAGGCGGCUUGCUGGACUGUAACUGACGCUGAGGCACGAAAGCGUGGGGAGCAAAUAGGAUUAGAUACCCUAGUAGUCCACGCCGUAAACGAUGAAUACUAAGUGUUGGAGAAAUUCAGUGCUGCAGUUAACGCAAUAAGUAUUCCGCCUGGGGAGUACGCACGCAAGUGUGAAACUCAAAGGAAUUGACGGGGACCCGCACAAGCGGUGGAUUAUGUGGUUUAAUUCGAUGCAACGCGAAGAACCUUACCAAGCCUUGACAUCUUCGGCGAAGCUCUAGAGAUAGAGUGGAGGCUAUCCGAAAGACAGGUGGUGCAUGGCC